AAUGAACGCUAGCGGCAGGCCUAACACAUGCAAGUCGAGGGGUAACUAGAGUGAUAGCAAUAUUACUUUGGCUAGACCGGCGCACGGGUGCGUAACACGUAUGCAACCUACCUUAUACUGGGGAAUAACUUCGAGAAAUCGGCGCUAAUACCCCAUAACAUUGCGAAGAGGCAUCUCUUUGCAAUUAAAGCUCCGGCGGUAUAAGAUGGGCAUGCGUCCAAUUAGCUAGUUGGUGAGGUAACGGCUCACCAAGGCUACGAUUGGUAGGGGUUCUGAGAGGAUGAUCCCCCACACGGGUACUGAGACACGGACCAGACUCCUACGGGAGGCAGCAGUGAGGAAUAUUGCGCAAUGGACGAAAGUCUGACGCAGCCAUGCCGCGUGCAGGAUAACGGCCCUAUGGGUUGUAAACUGCUUUUGUACGGGAAUAAACCCUUCUACGUGUAGGAGGCUGAAGGUACCGUAAGAAUAAGCACCGGCUAACUCCGUGCCAGCCGCCGCAGUAAAAC
rnacentral:rRNA from 1 species